GAUGAACGCUGGCGGUAUGCCUAACACAUGCAAGUCGAACGGGCUUUUCGGAGCUAGUGGCGGACGGGUGAGUAACGCGUGAGAAUCUGCCUUCAGGAUGGGGAUAACAGGGAGAAAUCGCUGCUAAAACCCAAUGUGCCGAAAGGUGAAAUACUUGUAGCCAGAAGAGGAGCUCGCGUCCGAUUAGUUCGUUGGUGGGGUAAGAGCCUACCAGGGCAGCGAUCGGUAGCUGGUCUGAGAGGAUGAGCAGCCACACUGGGACUGAGACACGGCCCAGACUCCUACGGGAGGCAGCAGUGGGGAAUUUUCCGCAAUGGGCGAAAGCCUGACGGAGCAAUACCGCGUGAGGGAGGAAGGCUUUUGGGUUGUAAACCUCUUUUGUUAAGGAAGAAGAAAGUGACGGUACUUAAAGAAUAAGCAUCGGCUAACUCCGUGCCAGCCGCCGCGGUAA
rnacentral:rRNA from 1 species